ACCAGUUUCAGUUCGUUUGGAUAUCGUUGCGGUGUUAUUAUCUCAGUUCCUGGUGUUAGCAGAACGCUGCCAAUUGUGUUGCCUGGUUUCUAAGAUGACAUUCCACUGGUUUGCUAAUUAGUGUCCGCUGCUGAAUGUUAAUGAUCUCCACUUGAUCUGCAGUCUCUGUCGCACUGGGCAGAUGUACCAGCAGUACGGUUCGGAGAAGUAAUCUCGCCGUUGUUUCGCGACCGGUGCGUUUGGUUUCGGCACACUCUAAUAAGCAUCGAUCACCGAAUAGUCCAAAGUUCACCACACAACACCACCAGCUAUUUCCUGCCAGCGCGAAGCUUUUGUGGCCCGGUCGACACGCGGUCGAGAAGCUUCCAUCGCGGCUUCACGGUUCCAUCGGCGUGAAGCGGAUCGUGCAUGCGGAAUAUGGAUGUGGCACUGCCGAAUCGGCGAUCGCGCACCACACCGAUCACACCGUUGGGAGGGGGAGGAGAUUGUGUUUUCGUGGCGCGUUGUUUUUCUGGUCGUCCUUGGGCCAGACGGAUAGAUAGUUAGAGAUGGUAUGGAUGCCUUUCCGCGUCGUUCAGCGAUGGUCAGACGGUUGGUGUUUAUGAGGGGUUUCCCAAAGUCACUCUCUCGAUCGUGUCGGCGCCAUUUUCCACCCGAAACAUGCAACAUGCGGGACAUUGCCCCAAAGCAACCACCAAAGAAAGAUUGCGGAGAGAUUGUGCAGAGCGAACAAAGCAACUGGCUUAUGAUCAGUCUUGCAGGCGGUGAUCGCGACGACGCAGGUUUUGUUAUGGUUUUGUCGAACAAAAACGGCUUUUGCGUAUUUUCCGGCUUUAGAAGAUAAACAGAAAAACAAAAGACUCAUCGGAAAUUUGGAUGUUGUUUUUGUUUGUUGUUUUGCUAGUGGCGUACGCGCUCUAGUGACGUUAUUCGAACGGGAUAUUGUAGCAUGAAGUCAACCGCCUUGGAGCUCAACUGUAACAUGAAAGAAGGAUGAUUAAGAACCAGGAUAUAAACAAGGUUUACAAGCCACUUUACUGGACCAACUCCACCAUCCGGAUGUAAAGCUUCUCUCAGUCCACAUCGGUGUGGUGUCAGUGUAUGACAUCAAUUGGAGUUGGGUUUAAAUGCAAAUUGAAAAGUUUUUGCUCAUCUUCGCAGGUGCAUAAAUUAGUGCUAGUUACUUUAUCUCGAGUGAUGAACAUAUAAAAGCGCUGUGUGAUGCUAAUAUUUUUAAGUGGAUCGCUAAGUGGCGAAAGGUCAAAGUGGCGAUUAAGGUGCGCAAAAACAGAAUAACAUGCUCCAAGCUCUGGUCUGAAGCUGAAGGCACUACAAUCUCGAACUCGGGAGGAUUCGACCCGCCAUUUUUGAAAGGAUUCGGCUUUCCUUGACUUGAUUUUACCCGGAGCUGGAUGGGAAUCGAUCCCCGGCCAUGUCGUGUGGAGACUCGGCUAUCGUCUCGGCCACCGGACCAACUCCUACAAUCAAUUACUGUUGAACAAUAUUUUGAAAUAAAAAAUAAUAUAAUCAUCUACAGCACAGCCACAAAA